GGGUCUUAGCUCAGUGGCAGAGCAUCUGCUUUGCAUGCAGAAGGUCCCAAGGUUGAAUCCCUGGCAUCUCCA